rnacentral:rRNA from 1 species
AUUGAACGCUGGCGGCAUGCCUUACACAUGCAAGUCGAACGGCAGCACGGGGCAACCUGGUGGCGAGUGGCGAACGGGUGAGUAAUGCAUCGGAACGUACCUUUCAGUGGGGGAUAACGUAGCGAAAGUUACGCUAAUACCGCAUAUUCUGUGAGCAGGAAAGCAGGGGAUCGCAAGACCUUGCGCUGAUUGAGCGGCCGAUGUCAGAUUAGCUAGUUGGUGAGGGAAAGGCGCACCAAGGCGACGAUCUGUAGCGGGUCUGAGAGGAUGAUCCGCCACACUGGAACGGGGACACUGUCCAGACUCCUACGGGAGGCAGCAGUGGGGAAUUUUGGACAAGGGGGGCAACCCUGAUCCAGCCAUGCCGCGUGAGUGAAGAAGGCCUUCGGGUUGUAAAGCUCUUUCGGCCGGGAAGAAAUCGCGCGGGCUAAUACCCUGUGUGGAUGACGGUACCGGAAUAAGAAGCACCGGCUAACUACGUGCCAGCCGCCGCAGUAAGAC